rnacentral:rRNA from 1 species
GGGAGGCAGCAGUGGGGAAUUUUGGACAAUGGGGGCAACCCUGAUCCAGCAAUGCCGCGUGAGUGAAGAAGGCCCUCGGGUUGUAAAGCUCUUUUGUCAGGGAAGAAACGGUCUGCUCUAAUACAGUGGGCUAAUGACGGUACCUGAAGAAUAAGCACCGGCUAACUACGUGCCAGCAGCCGCGGUAAUACGUAGGGUGCAAGCGUUAAUCGGAAUUACUGGGCGUAAAGCGUGCGCAGGCGGUUUUAUAAGUCUGAUGUGAAAUCCCCGGGCUCAACCUGGGAACUGCAUUGGAGACUGUAAGGCUAGAGUGUGUCAGAGGGGGGUAGAAUUCCACGUGUAGCAGUGAAAUGCGUAGAUAUGUGGAGGAAUACCGAUGGCGAAGGCAGCCCCCUGGGAUAACACUGACGCUCAUGCACGAAAGCGUGGGGAGCAAACAGGAUUAGAUACCCUGGUAGUCCACGCCCUAAACGAUGUCUACUAGUUGUCGGGUCUUAAUUGACUUGGUAACGCAGCUAACGCGUGAAGUAGA